AGAGUUUGAUCCUGGCUCAGGACGAACGCUGGCGGCGUGCCUAACACAUGCAAGUCGAACGGAGAUACGAUUUCGGUUGUAUCUUAGUGGCGAACGGGUGAGUAACGCGUUGGUGACCUGCCCCAAAGUGAGGGAUAACAGCCCGAAAGGGUUGCUAAUACCUCAUGUGGUCUUUGAGAUCAGAUGCUCUUAGACUAAAGGAUUUAUUCGCUUUGGGAGGGGCCUGCGUCCCAUCAGCUUGUUGGUGAGGUAAUGGCUUACCAAGGCUAUGACGGGUAGGGGACCUGAGAGGGUGACCCCCCACAAUGGAACUGAAACACGGUCCAUACACCUACGGGUGGCAGCAGUAGGGAAUAUUGGUAAUGGGCGAAAGCCUGAACCAGCAACGCCGCGUGUGCGAAGAAGGCCUUCGGGUUGUAAAGCACUUUUUAAGGGGAUGAGGAAGGACAGUACCCUUAGAAUAAGCCUCGGCUAACUACGUGCCAGCAGCCGCGGUAACACGUAGGAGGCAAGCGUUAUUCGGAUUUACUGGGCGUAAAGCGCGUGCAGGCGGUUUGGUAAGUUGGAUGUGAAAGCUCCCGGCCUAACUGGGAGAGGUCGUUCAAUACUACCAGACUAGAGGAUGGGAGAGGGAGGUGGAAUUCCGGGUGUAGUGGUGAAAUGCGUAGAUAUCCGGAGGAACACCAGUGGCGAAAGCGGCCUCCUGGCCCAUUUCUGACGCUCAGACGCGAAAGCUAGGGUAGCAAACGGGAUUAGAGACCCCGGUAGUCCUAGCUGUAAACGAUGUGAACUUGGCGUCGGCGGGUUUAAAUCCGUCAGUGCCGAAGCUAACGCGAUAAGUUCACCGCCUGGGGACUACGGCCGCAAGGUUAAAACUCAAAGGAAUUGACGG
rnacentral:rRNA from 1 species